rnacentral:rRNA from 1 species
GAACCUGCGGAGGGAUCAUUACCGAGUUUACAACUCCCAAACCCCAAUGUGAACGUUACCAAUCUGUUGCCUCGGCGGGAUUCUCUUGCCCCGGGCGCGUCGCAGCCCCGGAUCCCAUGGCGCCCGCCGGAGGACCAACUCCAAACUCUUUUUUUCUCUCCGUCGCGGCUCCCGUCGCGGCUCUGUUUUAUUUUUGCUCUGAGCCUUUCUCGGCGACCCUAGCGGGCGUCUCGAAAAUGAAUCAAAACUUUCAACAACGGAUCUCUUGGUUCUGGCAUCGAUGAAGAACGCAGCGAAAUGCGAUAAGUAAUGUGAAUUGCAGAAUUCAGUGAAUCAUCGAAUCUUUGAACGCACAUUGCGCCCGCCAGUAUUCUGGCGGGCAUGCCUGUCCGAGCGUCAUUUCAACCCUCGAACCCCUCCGGGGGGUCGGCGUUGGGGAUCGGCCCCUCACCGGGCCGCCCCCGAAAUACAGUGGCGGUCCCGCCGCAGCCUCUCCUGCGCAGUAGUUUGCACACUCGCACCGGGAGCGCGGCGCGGCCACAGCCGUAAAACACCCCAAACUUCUGAAAUGUGACCUCGGAUCAGGUAGGAAUACCCGCUGAACUUAAGCAUAUCAAUA